AAAGACCAAAAGUUUGGACACACCUUCUCAUUCAAAGAGUUUUCUUUAUUUUCAUGACUAUGAAAAUUGUAGAGUCACACUGAAGGCAUCAAGGGCUAUUUGGCCAAGAAGGAGAGUGAUGAUGACCUGGCCUCCACAGUCACCGGACCUGAACCCAAUCGAGAUGGUUUAGGGGUGAGCUGGACCGCAGACAGAAGGACAAAGGGCCAACAAGUGCUAAGCAUCUCUCGGGGAACUCCUUCAAGACUGUUGGAAGACCAUUUCAGUAAUGAAGGCAGCAACACGUGGCAGAUGGGACAGAACAAGAAAGACUUAAUAAUCUUUCAUUGUGCUAAUGUAUUAUAAUAUGAAAAGAUUUGAGGGAAAGAUUAAAAACAAGGAGGUCUGGGAACGACUGAAGGGAACUGACAGCAGUGAGGGAAGGAAGUAAUCACCAGAAUCUCAGAGAAGGAUGUUGACAGCAGGCCCAGGAUGAAGAAGAGGAGGAAGAACACAUUUAAUAAUUUUCUCAUAAACUUUCCAUGUGUUACAAUAAAAACAAUGAACAUGACUACAGUAAUAUGCUAAAUGUUAUUAAAAGAUUCCAGUUUGCAAGAAAUUUGAGUGUCUGACUCUACACUAGAGGAACUCUUUUCUGAAGAAGAUCAGGUGCUGAGAAGGAGCUUUGUUCUACAGCAAAACACUGCAUCAAGCCUCCUGUCCUUCCCUCAGAAGAGCCUGUCUUCUGCUGCUGGGGUAAGAAACACCCUCUUCCUCUUCUCUAUCAGCUGUCCAGCACCUAACUCUGCCUCCUCAGCACUGUCUGAAAGAGUCUUCUCCACAGUCAGUAAUCACAGAUCACAGAUUCUUCUGAGAAAGUCGAUAUGCUCAUUUUCUUAAAAAACUUUGUUUUUUCGGGUGGGACAAAUAAUACAGGAGAGAUGCUAGAAAUCUCUAUAUUGUUCAUUUUUCAUAUCUUUACGCUUUCUUUUUUUCUGAGAAGCUCAAGAAUUAUGGUUCUUUGGUAAUUGCUUUAUUGUUUAGGUUAAUCCUCUGAUAGUGAGCACAGAGCCCUGAUCAUGACAUGCAAGAAAAAAAAAGAAGUCAUGUCCAUGAUUUACUAAUUCGUUUUUUAUACUAUUUAUACCAGGAGCCUCAUAUACGAUGCUCACGAAAACAGUUUUACUUUGUGCAGUAUCUCGGUGCAGUAUCUGCUGAAUUGUUUCAUAUCUAUUUAUCAUGUAUUUUUUGUUGCACUAAAUUAUGUACAGUUGUAUCAAUAAAUGUACUGAUAAUUAUAUAUAAUUUUCACUGAUGUCAUUAACUAUCCCCAUCCUUAAUAAGACAAACAUUUUCUAUUGUUUAUAUUGUGUAAUCUAUGAAUUGAUGUUCAGUUUUCUGUGCUCAUGACUUAGUAACACUUUGCAUGGUUAAAGAACAUGUGCAAUGUUCAAAAAGUUUUGACUUUAGUAUUUGUAGAAAGUAGUGCUGAAUAAAUGUUGAUUUGUGAAUGAAUGCAGUGUGUUUUUGUCUAUUUUAUAUUAGAAUGUAAUGUUUUUGUAUUUGUUUGCAUUGCAUGUAUGUAAUUAAUGUAUUUACUAUGAAUCCCCUAUAAUUAGAUUACAAUUAGAUUUCAUAAGGUUUAUUUUUUGCACCAGAGAUGGAUUGAGUUUAUUAGUUAUUUAUGUAUUUCAAGGUAAUGGUGAGGUGAAAAUAUGAAUUACCAAUAUGAUCCUGUAAUGUCACGUCCUCAUAACGUGACAGUUUGGUCGUUAGGACGUUCUCAUAACGUUCCAGCGACGUUCCACUAUAACGUCGCCACGACGGAUAUGGGAAUCACAAAGUUACGUCACUGGAACGUUAUAUGGUACGUCGCUGCGACCAAUAUGGUACUUUAUAGGAACGUCCUCAUAACGUGCCAGUUUAGUCGCUGGGACGUACUCAUCACGUGCCAGCGACGUUCCACUAUAACGUCGCCACGACGAAUAUGGGAAUCACAAAGUUACGUCACUGGUACGUUAUAUGGUACGUCGCUGCGACCAAUAUGGUACUUUAUAGUAACGUCCUCAUAACGUGACAGUUUGGUCGCUGGGACGUACUCAUCACGUUCCAGCGACGUUCCACUAUAACGUCGUCACGACGGAUAUGGGAAUCACAAAGUUACGUCGCUGGAACGUUAUUUGGGACGUCGCUGCAACGAAUAUGGUCUGGUCCAGUUACGUCGUCACGACGUAACUGUGUUAGCUGGGUAGUUAGUGUGGUUAUAGUGAGUUCGGGAAAGUGUUCAAGUUCAGCAGCAUAGUUCAGCCUACAUACAUGUGUUGUGUAGUUUUCUUUAUCUGUUCUGAACGAUCCAGCUUCCAAUAUUUAUGUGUUGAGUUCAUGACAAAAAACUAUAAUGACAAUGCAGGAUAUUGGAAUGUUCUGAUGAACACUGCUGGAUCUCAAUACAGUUAAUUGAAGAAAUUACAUCUCCUCGUCUUCAUUCCUGUGUCCUGAUCGAUACACCAUCCUGUUUACUGGCUAAAACCCUUGACGAACUAGCCCUGCUAGAAUACCUCACU